CUGGCGGCGUGCCUAAUACAUGCAAGUCGAACGGUCUUUCUAUGGAAGCUUGCUCCACUGAAAGAUAGUGGCGAACGGGUGAGUAACACGUGGGUAAACCUGCCCAUAAGAGGGGGGAUAACAUCCGGAAACGGGUGCUAAUACCGCAUAGUUUUCUUGAUCGCAUGAUCGGGAAAGGAAAGACGGCCUUUGUGCUGUCGCUUAUGGAUGGACCCGCGGCGUAUUAGUUAGUUGGUGAGGUAACGGCUCACCAAGACGAUGAUACGUAGCCGACCUGAGAGGGUGAUCGGCCACAUUGGGACUGAGACACGGCCCAAACUCCUACGGGAGGCAGCAGUAGGGAAUCUUCCGCAAUGGACGAAAGUCUGACGGAGCAACGCCGCGUGAGUGAAAGAAGGUUUUCGGAUCGUAAAACUCUGUUGUCAGAGAAGAACAAGUUGGAGAGUAACUGCUCCAGCCUUGACGGUAUCUGACCAGAAAGCCACGGCUAACUACGUGCCAGCCGCCGC
rnacentral:rRNA from 1 species